CUCUUAGCGCGCUCUUCUCCCCCGUGAUGGCGAUGUCGUCUGCAUCGUAGUCAGCAGGCGGGAUGUCCAUAUCUUGGCGGUUUCCAGUGUACAUGAUACUAUUGUCCUUUUCAAUAAAGCUGUUGGAAUGAGAAGAAGAACCACUGCGGUAGCUCUGGCUGCUGUACGCAGAAGAAAAAGAUGGCUGCCGUAGCAAAGCUUGUCGCUCUCUGGUAACCAUCGGGCUCCUGGCAGAUUGUGGGGGAUAUACGAAAUCGUAUUUGUUGCUUCUUGCACUUGACGGCGGGGAAUUCUCUCUAUCCUCGUCAAAGUCGGAGUCGGGGAAUUUCUUCUGCUCCUCGGAUGGCGAAGGUGAUUCCAAUCCGAUGCCACUCUCGUCCGAGACGUUUCGGGACCGCGGGGAUGACAUAGGCAAAUUUCCGACAAUGCUUGUAUUCAAACAUCUCCUUGCGUCCACUUUUUCGAGAUUCCCUUGUUUUCGGCGAAUAGUAUCGUAAUCUUUUGGAGGAAGCAACAACGGUUUGCCUUCUUUUACCGACAUGUUUAAUUUCAGUCUGAGUUCAUCUGUCACAGAUUCAAAUGGCAUCUGGUCGCAAAGACUUACAAGAUCGGGCUCGAUUUCGUCCGAAGGAAAGGAGUUUGUACUGCAUGUACUGGCCGCGGCGGAAUCCGGAGCCGAAUCCGUUCUCGGCUCGCUCAUUCCGUCGGAUGAUCCAAGUCCGGGGUCCCUUGGACUUGAUCGGGGACGAUAGACGUAUGUAGUAUUAUGAGGGUCCUCAAUUUCGCCGCGUGCGAUCAAACUGAAUUCUACACGUUUCAGUCUCUCCACCGUCAUUCCCAUGACGCCUUGCAGCAUGCGGACAUAUUUGGUUGCUGUUUGCGCUGAAUCAAAUCGGUACACAUGCACGUGUACACUUCGCUUGGUGCGAGGGAUGUAGCCGAGAUAGAUGCACGCCACAAUGUCGUCUGGUUGACCGGUGAUCGGGUUGCGGGCCUGUGAGACAAACGUCACAUCCUCAGCCGGGAUGACGGGGAACUUGAUGUUCUUGGUCUUUUUCUUGUUUUUCUCUGGAACAUCUUGGGAAAUUUUCAGUUCAGUUUUACUGACCUGGACUGUGAGUUUUGGAGCGUUCCUCCAUUUCUGAUGCUUUCGCCUGAGAUCGUCUACGACCGGGCGUGUAUAUUGCUCACCCACCAGACCCCGGCUCUCUAUCCAUCCCAAAAACUCCACGUAGAAUUUCUGGGUCUUGUCCUUGCUUUUACCUCCAAAGAAUCGAGACAUGGUCGCACAAAAAUGUUGUUCACAAAAUUUUGAAUGAACAAAAUAAAUGUCCC
rnacentral:sRNA from 1 species